UUUCAUGUUUUUCUUUCUCUCUCUUCGCAACGACUCCAUCCGAAAUAGCAACCAGAUCCAGAAAAACUAAAUGAAAUCAUGCAAAAUCAAACCUAAAAUGGAAUUUCUAAUUGUGCAAGAACAUGAACGAGAUCAAUUUACCAGAGAAAUCAAAAAGAAAAUUAUCAAAAACCUGAAAAAUUAGGAUUUAUAAAUCGAAUUUUAACGAGUUUACUCUCUUCUUCAACAACAAAAGUUUGAAGAUUUAAAAUCAAAGACAAGAAACUUUGAUUGGAGGAGGUGAAGGUGGUGGUUGGAUAGAAGGAAAAGAUGAUGGAUAUGGUGGAAUUCACAAAUUCAGAUGAGCAGGGGGAAAAGGUGGUGGAGGAGAUCAUGGUAGUGGACGUCGGCGGUGAAAGUGGCAGGGAUAUGGUGGUUGGAUGUGCCUUAAUUCAAGGUAUGUUGAUUUGUCGUGAUGGUUGGGUUUUAAGCUCUGGUGGUGCAAGGUUCUUGUUUGGUGAAACAUGGUUAAAUCACGCAAAAAAUUCGGUUUACAUUUUGCUGUGUUCAUCAGUUAGUGAUGGAAGGAUAUAAAUGGAUGUUUAACAUCCAGAAAUAUGGUUCGCUCCAAAUUUUGUUCCAGGUUUGUAUUUUUUUGUUUUGUCCAUCUAUGCUCUGUUAUUGGAAGAAAUACAUUUAUAUGGGUGCUCUUAAUGGGUGCUUUGAUUGUAUCCAGCUACUACUGGAUAUUACUAGAAACACAUUCUACAGAUAUCGCAUUAGAGGUACAAAAUUAGAAACAUUAUAUUAGUUAAUUAAGACGAAACUGAUUCCAUUUUGAACAUGUAUCUCAAAUUAUGUCAAGUUUAUAGUUUUUAGUUCUGUCUUUUUCAUGGCGUUAGUUGUUGUUAUGCUCUUACACUGAAUUUGUGGUGCAAUGGUAGCACGACUGACUUCACGUCAGAUGAUGCGUGUUCGAAUCACGCCAAUCUCACUCGUUCGUGCAUAUCAAAAUGUUUUUUUUGGCUUGUUAUGUUUUUAAUGAAAUAUACAAUUCAUUUUGUUUAUGAUUUUUAUAUUCAUAUUUCUGAUAAAUAUGUCAAUUUGCAAGCUCCAGGUUAUUGAUUUUUACAAGAACCAAACCAUUGUAAAUGGUGUCGACUUUGGUUGUUAACAGCAGGUUUCGGGAUCAACUUCUGUUAUCGACGCGAAAUAUUGGUGUCAACUUUUGUUGUUGACACGAUACCAGAGUAACAAGAUAUUCCUAGAUUCCAAAUUUGGGGUCAACUUCGGUUGUCGACAUCAAUUCGUAGGAUCAACUUCCAUUGUUGACAAGAAUUUUUGGUGUCAACUUUUGUUGUUGACAUCAGGUUUCCGGAUCAACUUUUGUUGUUGACACAAGUUAUUGGCAUCAACUUUGGUUGUUGACACGAUUCCAAAGUGACAACAUAUUCCUGGAUUCCAAAUUUGAGGUUAUUGGGAUCAACUUUUGUUGUUGACACGAUACCAAAGUGACAACAAAUUUGAGGUAAACUUCGAUUGUUGACAUCAAUUUGUAGGAUGAACUUCCAUUGUUAACACGAAUUAUUGUUCUUUGGUUGUUGAUGCCAGUUUCUCGUGUCAACUUUGGUUGUUGACAUUAAUUUUUAUUCUGUGGGUUUAUCAGUAUUUUAAGUCAUCUCUGUAACUAUACAUACCUGAAAUCUUCUAUAAUUCAUGCAUUCAUGCUAGAAAAUAGUAAAAAAAAUAAGUAACAACAUCA